GUAGAACGCUGAAGAGAGGAGCUUGCUCUUCUUGGAUGAGUUGCGAACGGGUGAGUAACGCGUAGGUAACCUGCCUUGUAGCGGGGGAUAACUAUUGGAAACGAUAGCUAAUACCGCAUAACAAUGGAUGACACAUGUCAUUUAUUUGAAAGGGGCAAUUGCUCCACUACAAGAUGGACCUGCGUUGUAUUAGCUAGUAGGUGAGGUAACGGCUCACCUAGGCGACGAUACAUAGCCGACCUGAGAGGGUGAUCGGCCACACUGGGACUGAGACACGGCCCAGACUCCUACGGGAGGCAGCAGUAGGGAAUCUUCGGCAAUGGGGGCAACCCUGACCGAGCAACGCCGCGUGAGUGAAGAAGGUUUUCGGAUCGUAAAGCUCUGUUGUAAGUCAAGAACGAGUGUGAGAGUGGAAAGUUCACACUGUGACGGUAGCUUACCAGAAAGGGACGGCUAACUACGUGCCAGCAGCCGCGGUAAUACGUAGGUCCCGAGCGUUGUCCGGAUUUAUUGGGCGUAAAGCGAGCGCAGGCGGUUUGAUAAGUCUGAAGUUAAAGGCUGUGGCUCAACCAUAGUUCGCUUUGGAAACUGUCAAACUUGAGUGCAGAAGGGGAGAGUGGAAUUCCAUGUGUAGCGGUGAAAUGCGUAGAUAUAUGGAGGAACACCGGUGGCGAAAGCGGCUC
rnacentral:rRNA from 1 species